GACGAACGCUGGCGGCGUGCUUAACACAUGCAAGUCGAGCGGUAAGGCCCUUUUUGGGGGUACGACGAGCGGCGAACGGGUGAGUAACACGUGGGUGACCUGCCCUCAGCUCUGGGAUAAGCCUGGGAAACCGGGUCUAAUACUGGAUAUGACUCCAUGACGCAUGUUGUGGGGUGGAAAGCCUUGUGCGGCUGAGGAUGGGCCCGCGGCCUAUCAGCUUGUUGGUGGGGUGAGGCCUACCAAGGCGACGACGGGUAGCCGGCCUGAGAGGGCGACCGGCCACACUGGGACUGAGACACGGCCCAGACUCCUACGGGAGGCAGCAGUGGGGAAUCUUGCGCAAUGGGCGAAGGCCUGACGCAGCGACGCCGCGUGAGGGAUGACGGCCUGG
rnacentral:rRNA from 1 species